rnacentral:pre_miRNA from 1 species
UGCCUUCAGCUUUAGCUGGCUGAAACCGGGCCAAAUUUCCUACUAAUGUAUUUGGUCCCCUUCAACCAGCUGUAGUUGGCAUUGUUA